rnacentral:rRNA from 1 species
UACGAAGGUCCCAAGCGUUGUUCGGAAUCACUGGGCGUAAAGGGAGCGUAGGCGGCGUGGUAAGUCAGAUGUGAAAUCCCGGGGCUCAACCCCGGAACUGCAUCCGAUACUGCCAUGCUUGAGGGUUGGAGAGGUAGCUGGAAUUCUCGGUGUAGCAGUGAAAUGCGUGGAUAUCGAGAGGAACACUCGUGGCGAAGGCGAGCUACUGGACAACAUCUGACGCUGAGGCUCGAAGGCUAGAGUAGCGAAAGGG